CGGACGGGUGAGUAACGCGUGAGAAUCUGGCUUCAGGUCUGGGACAACCACUGGAAACGGUGGCUAAUACCGGAUGUGCCGAGAGGUGAAAGGUUAACUGCCUGAAGAUGAGCUCGCGUCUGAUUAGCUAGUUGGAAGUGUAAUGGACUCCCAAGGCGACGAUCAGUAGCUGGUCUGAGAGGACGAUCAGCCACACUGGGACUGAGACACGGCCCAGACUCCUACGGGAGGCAGCAAUGGGGAAUUUUCCGCAAUGGGCGAAAGCCUGACGGAGCAAUACCGCGUGAGGGAGGAAGGCUCUUGGGUCGUAAACCUCUUUUCUCAGGGAAGAACAAAAUGACGGUACCUGAGGAAUAAGCAUCGGCUAACUCCGUGCCAGCAGCCGCGGUAAUACGGAGGAUGCAAGCGUUAUCCGGAAUGAUUGGGCGUAAAGCGUCCGCAGGUGGCUAUGUAAGUCUGCUGUUAAAGAGUCUAGCUCAACUAGAUAAGAGCAGUGGAAACUACAAGGCUAGAGUACGUUCGGGGCAGAGGGAAUUCCUGGUGUAGCGGUGAAAUGCGUAGAGAUCAGGAAGAACACCGGUGGCGAAGGCGCUCUGCUAGGCCGUAACUGACACUGAGGGACGAAAGCUAGGGGAGCGAAUGGGAUUAGAUACCCCAGUAGUC
rnacentral:rRNA from 1 species